AACUAUAUCCAUACGUAUAGGAUUUUGUGCCGUCGAUUUCCGCGGCCUCCUCGCCGCAAACCAGCUGCCCCUGGCGAAAAUGCAGUCGUCGGCUGUGCCAUUCCCACCGCGUCCUAGAAUCACCGCCACAUCCCUCAAACCUAGAUCCUGCCUCCUCGUCCAUCCCCUCUCUCGUUCCAGUGGCAGACGCUCUCUUCUUCUCCGGCUUCGCUCCCCUCUGAAGCGUCUCCUCGUGGCUACCGCCAGCAAAUCGCCGCCUCCCCCUGUAUCGUCUGAAUCGGAUCGUCAAUCGAAGCCUUCAGAUGCGGAGGCCAGUAGUAACUUACUCCAAGAGAACCAAGGCUCCGAUCUUGGUUGGUUACCGGCUUUCCCUCACGUGCUCACGGCCUCCAUGGCUAAUUUCCUCUUCGGUUACCACAUUGGGGUGAUGAAUGGACCUAUUGAAGCUAUAGCUCAUGAGCUUGGUUUUGAAGGAAAUUCUUUUCUUGAAGGACUCGUUGUUAGCAUAUUCAUAGCUGGUGCAUUUAUUGGAAGCUUAGGUGUUGCUUCCCUAGUUGAUAAGUUUGGUUCUCGGCGCACUUUUCAGUUUGACACAAUACCACUGAUUCUUGGGGCACUUUUAAGUGCACAAGCACAUACUAUGAAUGAGAUGCUAUGGGGAAGAUUUCUUGUGGGCCUUGGGAUUGGAGCAAAUACUGUCCUUGUGCCACUUUAUAUAUCAGAGGUUUCUCCAACAAAAUAUAGGGGGUCACUAGGAAGUCUUUGUCAAAUUGGAACUUGUCUUGGAAUAAUUGCAUCACUUGCAUUAGGGAUUCCUUCUGAAAGUGAUUCACAUUGGUGGCGAGUAUUAUUUUAUAUAGCCUGUACCCCUGGUUUAAUUCUCAUUUUAGGCAUGCAAUUUGCUGUUGAGAGUCCCCGCUGGCUCUACAAGGUUGGAAGAGUAGAUGAGGCUAAGCAAGUUAUUGGAACAGUUUGGGGAGAAUCAGAAGUUGAAAAGUCUAUAGAGGAGAUUCGGAAUGUGAUUAUAGAUGAUACCAACAUUCAUAAGACUAGCUGGUUGGAGCUUUUUAUGGAACCCCACAAUAAAGUUGCUUUUAUUGGAGGAUCUCUUUUCAUACUUCAACAAUUUGCUGGAAUAAAUGGAGUGCUUUACUUCUCAUCCUUGACCUUCCGAGAUGUGGGCAUUACUAGCAGUGCAUUGGCUAGCUUAUUUGUGGGACUCACCAACUUUGCAGGGGCAUUAUUUGCUUUGACCCUUAUGGAUAAGCAAGGGAGGAGGAGGCUUCUAAUAGGAAGCUACCUGGGGAUGGCACUUUCAAUGUUUCUCAUUGUUUAUGCCAUUAAUGAUCCAUUGGAUGAAGGAUCCAAUCACAUACUCUCAAUUCUUGGCACGUUGAUGUACAUGUUCACAUUUGCUCUAGGAGCUGGGCCAGUUACUGGUAUAAUUAUUCCAGAGCUUAGUUCUGCACAAACACGUUCAAAAGUAAUGGGCUUUAGCUUCUCAGUACACUGGGUUUGCAACUUCUUAGUGGGGUUAUAUUUCUUGGAACUCGUCGACAAGUUCGGUGUGGGGCCUGUCUAUGGAGCUUUUGGCGCGGUUUCCUUGAUUUCGGCAAUAUUUGCAGCCUAUUUCAUAGUUGAAACAAAAGGACGCUCCCUGGAGGAAAUAGAAAUGUCAAUGAAUGCUAGAUUACCAGCUAAAGAUAAAUGAUCGAAUCUAGUUUCGCUUAUCCACUGAGCCAGCACGAGGAGUAUCUGAAUCCAAAACUGACAGCAUUGUUGGAUUCAUCGCGUGCGGUGUUUCGGAUCCACGCAUGAUUUUUUGACUGGCCCCUGCAUUUUGCAAGUUGCAAUCUCUCCAAUUGGAUCUCGUGAUGCUAAUAACGACUGUAAGUGAAACCAUGACUUUAUUAUUUGGUAGAUAAAUAAUAAAAAAAAUGUGGCAUGUCGAAGAUAAAGGUGGAAUAACAUGUUGCCCUCACAUGGAACCCACGCAUUAUUUGGCUAUGGUGAUUGGUGACCAUCGCGUCAUUUCCCCA